AUUGAACGCUGGCGGCAGGCCUAACACAUGCAAGUCGAGCGGAUGAGGAGAGCUUGCUCUCUGAUUUAGCGGCGGACGGGUGAGUAAUGCCUAGGAAUCUGCCUGGUAGUGGGGGAUAACGUUCCGAAAGGAACGCUAAUACCGCAUACGUCCUACGGGAGAAAGCAGGGGACCUUCGGGCCUUGCGAUAUCAGAUGAGCCUAGGUCGGAUUAGCUAGUUGGUGCGGUAAUGGCUCACCAAGGCGACGAUCCGUAACUGGUCUGAGAGGAUGAUCAGUCACACUGGAACUGAGACACGGUCCAGACUCCUACGGGAGGCAGCAGUGGGGAAUAUUGGACAAUGGGCGAAAGCCUGAUCCAGCCAUGCCGCGUGUGUGAAGAAGGUCUUCGGAUUGUAAAGCACUUUAAGUUGGGAGGAAGGGUUGUAGAUUAAUACUCUGCAAUUUUGACGUUACCAACAGAAUAAGCACCGGCUAACUUCGUGCCAGCAGCCGCGGUAAGAC
rnacentral:rRNA from 1 species